AUAUUGGUCAACAUGUGGAUUGUAAGCGCUAGGAAAGGAGCAUUCAUCGUAUAGCAACACUGUGUUGAAUUAACUGGGUCAGCAUCCUGUCUUGUGUCGAGAGGUCAUGUUGGGCCGAGUCAUAUUCAAAGUGGCGUGAGGCUGGUUAGACCGAGUCAUAAUUGAGAUUCAUGGGCGUUGUAUCUAUACCCUUUAAGUUAAUUGAUUAGGUAUUUCUAACAGCUCGAGUUUUUCGGAUUAAUAGUUAGCGCAAACAAUCUGACACACUAAUUAUGAGAUGUGAUUUAAUUCAAUUCAUCUGAACGUUGGGAUUCUUACCGUUAGAUCUAUUGUGGACUGCAACCUCACUCAACGUAUUGAGUUCAACUCAACUUAAUUUAUUAGUUUUCUGAACAUAUUAUCAUGAAACAGAAAGUUGAACCUACUUGAGCAAACAGUACAGCUAUUAAA
rnacentral:lncRNA from 1 species